UCUCAUUGGGCCGUGUGCCUCGCAGAUUGCGGGCUGUCUUCUAAUUCUGCUGCGUCACGGAUUAAGUAAUCCUGAAACCUGUACCAUAAUCCCAAAAAGGAGGGCGAGAUUCCUGUGACUGCUUUAGAGGGCACACAUUCUUUGUCAAGGAUCCCUCAGGAUAAAUAAAUUGGAAGCAAUCACUCAGCAGCACUGGCCAAGUGUUCAGGAAGCUCAAUAACUAUGUAACUUUUGAUCCCAGCAGUAACAAACUCUGAGCUCCAACUUUUAAGAUAAAUAAAAUACAGCAUUAAACUGGAUGAUCCUUCCUUGCUGUGGGUUUUUAUUGGUUGGGAUGAUUCAAAGAUCAGAGGAAAUAAGCCCUUUAAAAUCCACCCAGAAAGCCUGAAAGUAGAAUGAAAAGAUUAAAAGAAUCUCUGUCUGGUUUAAAGCAAAAUAUAGAAUUGAGAGAUGGCUUUGGAAUAUUUGUGUUGUCUGGUCAUAUAUUCUGAGGUAAAGUGGGAUCAUUGACUUUUGGGGGGGGGGGGGGGGUGAAAGCAAACAUUAUGGUCCCUUUUAUUUAUUUCAUUUAUUUAAUAGAGGACAUUUCCGAAUCUCAAAUAUCUUCCACGACUGCAACCGAGACAUCGAAGAAACUUAUGAGUAAAAAACAGGAAGGCAACUUUUUAAAGUGUGCUUCCUGCCAAUGUUUUCCCAGAGAGAUAAACCAGUACCUCCUAGAGAACACGUUGAUACACAGUGACUGACCCCAGUGAUGCAACCAGACGGGGUUAACCUCAAAGGAAAAAAACAGGAAAUAGUUACAUUUUUAAGAGACGGUGAGGAAAUGUGGACGAAAUGCACAUCUGGCUUUAUUUUUCACUCAUGCAUGCCUUUCAGCCACAUGUUAGACCCUCAGGAUAAUCCAGUCUGAUUGAAAACAUCAAGCAAUACCUCUUCAUGUCAGAACAAAAGAAACACUGAAAUUAAUUACGAAAUAACUCAGAAGAACAUGUUUAUUAAGACAUAUAAGAUUUACUUUAAAUAUGUUUGGAUAAAACGUUUUUUUUAUUAAGCCCUUUGUGUAAUAAUGUUAAACGUACAGCAGACGUCUAAAUAGAUGAGAUAAUACAAUUCUAACAGUCAGAGUAAAUCUGAAUAAAAAUGCUUUGCAAAAGUAAUCAUAUACCUUGAAUUUUUACACAAUUUUUGCAUUACUUUCACAAACCACUGUAUUUCAUAUUUUUAUGUUACACAACGUAGCACAUAAUUGGGAUUAGAAAUAUAAAUGAUGUAGAUGAAAUUGGGUGUGGAUUUACAGGGGACAAAACAAACAUGUGCAAGGAGGUGGUCAGGUCCCAUAGAUGCAGUGCACAUGUACGCACAGUUCUACUAAUCUUUCACACAGGGAGCAUGAAAACAAAAUGUUAAAAAAUAAAUAAAUGCAUGUAAAACAACUUCCAUUU